rnacentral:tRNA from 1 species
CCAGUUCAUGUAGCUUAAUUAAAGCAUAACACUGAAGCUGUUAAGAUGGUCCCUAAAAAGCCCCGUGAGCA